rnacentral:lncRNA from 1 species
UGGGGUUCAUUAUAAUCUUAAAAUUAAUAAGAUAUAGCAUAUAAUGAAUCAAAAAAUACCUAUUUUAUUAAUAAUAUAAAUAUCAAUUUACAUAAGUUUGAAAGAUAAAUUAUAAAAAUAUUCUAUCACAUCCCAUAUGCAAUUGGCUUAUAGGGUAUUAUUCUUUCAGUUCGAAUCUAUAGGGUCACAUACAAAGAAGUAUC